UUGACUAGCUGAGAGGAGUGCAUGGCCGUCGUCAGUUCGUACUGUGAAGCAUCCUGUUAAGUCAGGCAACGAGCGAGACCCACGCCAACAGUUGCCAGCAUGUCCUCCGGGAUGAUGGGGACACUGUUGGGACCGCCUCUGCUAAAGAGGAGGAAGGAAUGGGGCAACGGUAGGUCAGCAUGCCCCGAAUUAUCCGGGCUACACGCGAGCUACAAUGGUUGGUACAAUGGGUAUCUACCCCGAAAGGGGACGGGAAUCUCCUAAAACCAAUCUUAGUUCGGAUUGAGGGCUGCAACUCGCCCUCAUGAAGCUGGAAUCCGUAGUAAUCGCGUUUCAACAGAACUCGGUGAAUACGUCCCUGCUCCUU
rnacentral:rRNA from 1 species